ACGGCGAGUGAAGCGGCAAGAGCUCAAAUUUGAAAUCUGGCCCCUCCGGGGUCCGAGUUGUAAUUUGCAGAGGAUGCUUCGGGUGCGGCCCCUGUCUAAGUGCCCUGGAACGGGCCGUCAGAGAGGGUGAGAAUCCCGUCUUGGGCAGGGUGCCCGUGCCCGUGUGAAGCUCCUUCGACGAGUCGAGUUGUUUGGGAAUGCAGCUCUAAAUGGGUGGUAAAUUUCAUCUAAAGCUAAAUACCGGCCGGAGACCGAUAGCGCACAAGUAGAGUGAUCGAAAGAUGAAAAGCACUUUGAAAAGAGAGUUAAACAGCACGUGAAAUUGUUGAAAGGGAAGCGCUUGCGACCAGACUCGGCCUCGGGGUUCAGCCAGCAUUCGUGCUGGUGUACUUCCCCGGGGCCGGGCCAGCGUCGGUUCGGGCGGCCGGUCAAAGGCCCCAGGAAUGUAUCGUCCUCCGGGACGUCUUAUAGCCUGGGGUGCAAUGCGGCCAGCCUGGACCGAGGAACGCGCUUCGGCACGGACGCUGGCGUAAUGGUUGCAAACGACCCGUCUU
rnacentral:rRNA from 1 species